AGGGCAUAAGGAUGGGGCCCUGAUCCCAUAGGAUCAAUGUCCUUAUAGGAAGAGAUGAGAGGACUCCCUCUUCUUUCUCUCUCUCCCCACUAUGUGUGGACAUGAGGCAGGGAGAGGGCCCUCAUUGGAAACCAAUUGGCCAGCACCCUGAUCUUGUACUUCCUAGGAAUAGAUGUCUGUUGCUUAAGCCCUCCAGUCUGUGGUAUUUGUUAUGGGCACCUGAGCAGAAGAAGACAGGUCCAAAUGCCUUAAUGCUUCUCUAACUAGUUCUCUACCAAAUGGUUUCAGAGAGCCAGGAACGAUGCUAAAGCUUCCUGAUUCGUGACCCUGGCUAAGCAAAUGUAACGGCCCCAUUGACUCGCAGCCAUUGGAGAACUGAGCUUAAGAAUCUUUUGGCGGUCUGGAAACUUGGAAAAAGAAAGGGGCAACGUAUCCCACUUGAGCCAAGCAGCCAACUCGUGAGUGUGGGUAACAAGCAGGGACAAAAGACCACCAGAGUCACAGAGACGCAGCUGCGGUGACACCGAGGUGAGAAUCAUUACCAGCAGCCACUUAUCUCAGGACUGUGGGGCUGUUGGCCGGAGGUCAUCUCAGCUCCUAGCUGGGUAUUAGCUGGAGGCUGUCCUCAGUCCAGUGCCGUGGGCCUCCCCAGCUUGGCUGCGUGUGGCAGCAAAUCCAGCCAGGCGGUCCUCAGCAAGAGAGACAUCACAAUCUCACAGGUGAUCCACUCGGCUCUCUUCUCUUCUGCGUCCUGCUCUAUGGCCUGGGAAGCUGAUCUCCAAGGAUCGCAUUCCUAGGGCUCUCUGGCCCAUGGGCUUCCCGUUGGGUUUGCCCAAUGGACAGCCAUGGCAGAAGAUCAAAGGGAAGAUGGCAGGAAGCUGUCCCCCACUCCUCGCCUGGCUGAGUUCUGGCGAUGGCUGCCAUCCAGGGUCCUGAGUCCCACCAGUUUUUACCCCUUGAAGUGAGAAAGAACACGUCUACAACCCUCCCUCAUUCCAGAGGCUGUGUUUUUGCCCUUUGGUCAUGCAGAUGGGGCUAAAGCGAAGUUACAACAUUGGAAAAUGUCUUCUUAACGUCACACUGAUCUCCUUAAGGCAACGAGCCCCACAUGCUCUCUGAGGCCUGUGCACGUGUUCUGAGGACCCAGUUAUGUGCUGCGUGAUUCCAGAGGUGAACAGACCCUCACAGAUCACCUCUCCUCACCCUCUCAUGAGAGGGAAACUGAGGCUCAGGGGGAGAAUUGGCAAAGGUUACACUUGGUGGUGGGUUUGGAAUCUGCCCUGUGGACGCCCGACUAACCAUUUCUGCCAGAUGCGCGUGGGAAGUAAAAUGGGAAGAGGUGCUCCAUAGGAGGAGGGGACGUGGGUACAGUCACGUGGACCCGUGAGCCGGUCACCUGCGAGGCACCAGGGCCUACAGGAAAGGUGCCCGCUGUCGGCUUCCGCAGGGAAUUUCGUUAUCUUUGUGAGGUAGGGUGGAACUUGCAUCCUGAACAUUAAAGUUUACAUGCCAAGGAGGGCGGUGGAGUCCUUGGAACUUCCUGCCUCCCCCUGAGGCUGCCUCCCCAUGCGAUUGACCUGGUCUGGCUGGGCCUGAUGCUGGGCUCAAAGAGAACACAGGUCUCACCCUCCUAUGUGGCGUGUGGUGAAGACUAAGGAGGUCCCCAGGACCCUGAGGGUUGCCCUUGGGUGCAUUGGAGUAGAGGCCAGGGAAGUCCAUGUCCUUUCCGAGCCAGGCCUUGCCGCCGAGGUACAGCCACAGUGUCCCCCUUCCAGCUGCAGAGCCGCUGCUUCCUCAUCUGUCAGGUGGGAACAACGACCCCCACUCUGUGCACCUCACUGGCAGUAGCGAGCACGAAGUGUGAGGGUGGACUCUGCAAGGUGGAAGCCAUGUCCCUGCAGGUUGCAUCUGUGCUGCCUGCCCUGCUGAGGGACGGGAACAGCAGCAUAGCCUUCGGUACCACGUACCUUGUUUGUCAAAACUGGACCUGCCACAGCGCGGUGGCCCUUCUCCUGGGGAAACACACUGUGCCCCAGGAGGUGUGUGGACAAACACCUUCACAGCACUGAUGCUGAGACAGCCAGAGCCCAGAAACGCCCAGCCGCCCCCGGUAGGAAAAUGAAUAAGUAAAUUGGGGCAAUUGGAGAUUGUGAUGUCUCUCUUGCUGAAGACCACCUGGCUGGAUUUGCUGGGGUGGGACCCAGACCGGGACGUUUUCAUACACACAAAACGGGCUGUGCCAGGUGGCCUUCUCCAGGGCACGGUGGGUGGGGGAGUCUCAGGCUGCCACGUGCCUGGCAGGCUUGGGACGAGGUGAAGGGAGGUGAGUGUUCGUGGGGAUGCUGGGACCCCAUUCGGGCCAGGUCAAUCACAUGGGGAGAUACAGUAUCAACAGUAAAGGAUCUUUAGAUAUGUAAACACACAGAUAAGUGGCCGGUGUAAUGUGCAGAAAAUGCUAAACAACAGAAUGCAAUAAUACAAAGUUCCAAAGCAGGCAACCCUAAACUCCAUGUUC
rnacentral:lncRNA from 1 species